rnacentral:rRNA from 1 species
GUUGUCCGGAUUUAUUGGGCGUAAAGGGCUCGUAGGUGGUUGAUCGCGUCGGAAGUGUAAUCUUGGGGCUUAACCCUGAGCGUGCUUUCGAUACGGGUUGACUUGAGGAAGGUAGGGGAGAAUGGAAUUCCUGGUGGAGCGGUGGAAUGCGCAGAUAUCAGGAGGAACACCAGUGGCGAAGGCGGUUCUCUGGGCCUUUCCUGACGCUGAGGAGCGAAAGCGUGGGGAGCGAACAGGCUUAGAUACCCUGGUAGUCCACGCUGUAAACGGUGGGUACUAGGUGUGGGGUCCAUUCCACGGGUUCCGCGCCGUAGCUAACGCUUUAAGUACCCCGCCUGGGGAGUACGGCCGCGAGGCUAAAACUCAAAGGAAUUGACGGGGCCCCGCACAAGCGGCGGAGCAUGCGGAUUCAUUCGAUGCAACGCGUAGAACCUUACCUGGGUUCGACAUGGAUCGGGAGUGCUCAGAGAUGGGUGUGCCUCUUCUGGGGUCGGUUCACAAGUGGUGCAUGGCUGUCGCUCGAUCGUGUCGUGAGAUGUUGGGUUAAGUCCCGCACACGAGCGCAACCCUUGUUCACUGUUGCCAGCACGUUAUGGUGGGGACUCAGUGGAGACCGCCGGGGUCAACUCGGAGGAAGGUGGGGAUGACGUCAAGUCAUCAUGCCCCUUAUGUCCAGGGCUUCACGCAUGCUACAAUGGCUGGUACAGAGAGUGGCGAGCCUGUGAGGGUGAGCGAAUCUCGGAAAGCCGGUCUCAGUUCGGAUUGGGGUCUGCAACUCGACCUCAUGAAGUCGGAGUCGCUAGUAAUCGCAGAUCAGCAACGCUGCGGUGA